rnacentral:rRNA from 1 species
AGCGAACGCUGGCGGCAGGCCUAACACAUGCAAGUCGAACGGAUCCUUCGGGAGUGGUGGCGGACGGGUGAGUAACACGUGGGAACGUGCCCUUUGGUUCGGAACAACUCAGGUAAACUUGAGCUAAUACCGGAUGUGCCCUUCGGGGGAAAGAUUUAUCGCCAUUGGAGCGGCCCGAGUCUGAUUAGCUAGUUGGUGAGGUAACGGCCCACCAAGGCGAAGAUCAGUAGCUGGGCUGAGAGGAUGAUCAGCAACACUGGGACGGAGACAAGGCGCAGAUUCUGACGAGAGGGCGCAGUGGGGAACCGUGCGCAAUGCGCGAAAGCCUGACGCAGCCGUGUCGCGAGAAUGAUGAAGGUGUUAGGAUUGUAAAAUUCUUUCAGCGGGGACGAUAAGGCCGGAACCCGAAGAAGAAGCUCCGGCUACUUCCGG